rnacentral:rRNA from 1 species
UACGUAGGUGACAAGCGUUGUCCGGAUUUACUGGGCGUAAAGAGCGCGCAGGCGGUCGUUCAAGUCGAGUGUGAAAGCCCCCGGCUCAACUGGGGAGGGUCACUCGAUACUGAUCGACUCGAAGGCAGGAGAGGGUAGUGGAAUUCCCGGUGUAGUGGUGAAAUGCGUAGAUAUCGGGAGGAACACCAGUGGCGAAGGCGACUACCUGGCCUGUUCUUGACGCUGAGGCUCGAAAGCCAGGGGAGCAAACGGG